rnacentral:rRNA from 1 species
AGCAGCCGCGGUAAUUCCAGCUCCAAUAGCGUAUAUUAAAGUUGUUGCAGUUAAAAAGCUCGUAGUUGAAUUUUGGGUUUGGCCAAUUGGUCCGUUCUUGUAACGAGUACUGGUUGGUUGGGCCUCACCGCCUGGUGAUACGUAAUGUCCUUUAUUGGGUGUUGCGAGUAGCCAGGACCUUUACCUUGAAAAAAUUAGAGUGUUUAAAGCAGGCUUAUGCCGGAAUACAUUAGCAUGGAAUAAUAGAAUAGGACGAUGAUUCUAUUUUGUUGGUUUCUAGGAGCAUCGUAAUGAUUAAUAGGGAUAGUUGGGGGCAUUAGUAUUCAAUUGUCAGAGGUGAAAUUCUUGGAUUUAUUGAAGACUAACUACUGCGAAAGCAUUUGCCAAGGAUGUUUUCAUUAAUCAAGAACGAAAGUUAGGGGAUCGAAGACGAUCAGAUACCGUCGUAGUCUUAACCAUAAACUAUGCCGACUAGGGAUCGGGCGAUGUUGUUUCAAUGACCCG